rnacentral:sRNA from 1 species
AGUGCGGGAGGGAGCCUGAACCGCGCGGCCGAACCCUCCGGUGUCCCGACCCAGGCUAAGCUUGAGCAUGGCUGAGCAGGAGCCCACAGCCGAGCAGCUGGCCCAGAUUGCAGCGGAGAACGAGGAGGAUGAGCACUCGGUCAACUACAAGCCCCCGGCCCAGAAGAGCAUCCAGGAGAUCCAGGAGCUGGACAAGGACGACGAGAGCCUGCGAAAGUACAAGGAGGCCCUGCUGGGCCGCGUGGCCGUUUCCGCAGACCCCAACGUCCCCAACGUCGUCGUGACUGGCCUGACCCUGGUGUGCAGCUCUGCCCCGGGCCCCCUGGAGCUGGACCUGACGGGUGAGUGCCCUGCGGCCGCGGGGGUUCGGGCGGCCCCUGGUGGGGAUCUCGGGAAGUGCAGCCAGGGGGCCGUGCAGGGCUGGGGCUUCGCGCAGGGCUGGGGGCCCCAGGGCUGCUGGGCAUUGAGGAGGAGGUCCCCCCAACAGGCGACCUGGAGAGCUUCAAGAAGCAGUCGUUUGUGCUGAAAGAGGGUGUGGAGUACCGGAUAAAAAUCUCUUUCCGGGUUAACAGAGAGAUAGUGUCCGGCAUGAAGUACAUCCAGCAUACGUACAGGAAAGGCGUCAAGAUUGACAAGACUGACUACAUGGUAGGCAGCUAUGGGCCCCGGGCCGAGGAGUACGAGUUCCUGACCCCCGUGGAGGAGGCACCCAAGGGUAUGCUGGCCCGGGGCAGCUACAGCAUCAAGUCCCGCUUCACAGACGACGACAAGACCGACCACCUGUCCUGGGAGUGGAAUCUCACCAUCAAGAAGGACUGGAAGGACUGAGCCCAG